UCAAAGCAAUCAUCAGUUCUGUGAACUGUGAAAGAAGAUUUAAAAUUAAGUGAGCAUUGUCACAGAGUCACUCUAGAGUCGAGAGCACACUGGGGAAGUAGGGCCUAGUUCAAGUCCAGGAACACCUCAAACUUUCGACUUCGUCAGUUGCAGCUUGUUAGUUUCAACUCCACCGUCUCCUCCACUUAACCUUCUACUUUGCAGUGAAAUGGAAGAUGUUAACACCUGACAGCUGCCUUACCUCUUCCAGGUGAUCUGCUCAGGCUCAGAUAACCUCACCUGAGGGCACAAACAGCUUCAUCCCCUGAGCAAUCAAGAGGCAAUUCAAAGGACUCAGAGCUUAUUUCUUCCAAACAGCCUAGGCAGCCCCCACGAGCCCAAGAAAAGAGAAGAUGUGGACAAGUGGUAGCUGACACCCCAGGGACAGCCUGGAAGCCACUGCCCCCUAAGGCCAGCCUCACACAGCUCCCACCUGGGGAUUCAUCUCCCAGGAAGGCCUGGCCCAGGGUGAGUGAGGACCAUAUAGUAUCUCCCCUCCUGGAAGGAAAGUCUGGUCAAUACACCUAGGAACGUUCAGGCUUGGAGGAGAACUAAGGAGGUGACACAACCCUCCAUCACUUUUACUUUGUGGCUUAUCUCUGAACUCCGGCAAAAGAGCCUGCAGCCAAAGCAUCCCCUGGGAAACCGAAACUACCGGCUCGAGCAAUGACGGCCCUGAGCCAGGAAGACCCCACCUGUGACUGACCCCAAGACAAUGAUGACCUGACCUUUACUGCCCACCUGCAGGCGCCCUCCGACCUUCGUCCCACAUUU